rnacentral:lncRNA from 1 species
AGGAAAUUAUAGCAUGUUCCUCAGCUGCUUCCGAGUAACAUAGCUUAUUUCUCCAGCAAGAAGAUCUGGGAAAGCUGCUGAGGGCUUAUAUGGCCACUGAAAGGAAUGCAGUCCUGGCUGAGUACUUUUUCCAGUGAAGAAAUGUUAAUUUGUUCCAUGCCAUCCCCAUUUUUUGUGCACCUAUGUUUAAAAUCAGCUUUCACUGAUCACCCCAGAGAGAGAGAAUUUGUAAAUACACUGUAUUAA